GGGGAAUAUUGCACAAUGGGGGAAACCCUGAUGCAGCGACGCCGCGUGGAGGAAGAAGGUCUUCGGAUUGUAAACUCCUGUUGUUGAGGAAGAUAAUGACGGUACUCAACAAGGAAGUGACGGCUAACUACGUGCCAGCAGCCGCGGUAAAACGUAGGUCACAAGCGUUGUCCGGAAUUACUGGGUGUAAAGGGAGCGCAGGCGGGAAGACAAGUUGGAAGUGAAAUCUAUGGGCUCAACCCAUAAACUGCUUUCAAAACUGUUUUUCUUGAGUAGUGCAGAGGUAGGCGGAAUUCCCGGUGUAGCGGUGGAAUGCGUAGAUAUCGGGAGGAACACCAGUAGCGAAGGCGGCCUACUGGGCACCAACUGACGCUGAGGCUCGAAAGUGUGGGUAGCAAACAGGAUUAGAUACCCUGGUAGUCCACACCGUAAACGAUGAUUACUAGGUGUUGGAGGAUUGACCCCUUCAGUGCCGCAGUUAACACAAUAAGUAAUCCACCUGGGGAGUACGACCGCAAGGUUGAAACUCAAAGGAAUUGACGGGGGCCCGCACAAGCAGUGGAGUAUGUGGUUUAAUUCGACGCAACGCGAAGAACCUUACCAAGUCUUGACAUCCUGCGACGAUGCUGGAAACAGUAUUUUCCUUCGGGACGCAGAGACAGGUGGUGCAUGGUUGUCGUCAGCUCGUGUCGUGAGAUGUUGGGUUAAGUCCCGCAACGAGCGCAACCCUUACUGUCAGUUACUACGCAAGAGGACUCUGGCAGGACUGCCGUUGACAAAACGGAGGAAGGUGGGGAUGACGUCAAAUCAUCAUGCCCUUUAUGACUUGGGCUACACACGUACUACAAUGGCGUUAAACAAAGAGAAGCAAGACCGCGAGGUGGAGCAAAACUCAGAAACAACGUCCCAGUUCGGACUGCAGGCUGCAACUCGCCUGCACGAAGUCGGAAUUGCUAGUAAUCGUGGAUCAGCAUGCCACGGUGAAUACGUUCCCG
rnacentral:rRNA from 1 species